UUUAGUUGGUUGAUGGGCUAGCUCGGCUCCAAAUACGUUAAGCACAGGCAUACGAACGAGAAUACUAGUCGUUAUUUAACAACAAAAGAAAAAACCGAUGUCGUGUAACGACGCGGAAUCACGCGAGCGACGUCGAACGAGCUGUCGGAGCACACGCGAUUGAGGUGAAAAUUUCGAAUAUUGCGUGAGUCAACAACGUCGCGACAACGAAAGUCGUCCACUGGAACACAUCAAUGUAUGUCACAAUUUACGCCAACGUGCAACAAAAUUAUCUCUGUCGUUCUCCGGUUUUGUGUACCAGAAGCGACGCACGAUUGCAGCGUACAUGCAGAGAAAAAAUAAAAUAGACCGAGCAACGGGAACGACGCUGGGGUACAUUGUGAUGACACACGGUGAAUAUUGAUUCUCGAAUUUUCAUUGCUCUGUUGAAGAGAAUCGAGAGAAAAAUGCAUUCUCGACAAGCUGCAGCGGCGCAUUUGACUUUUAUAUCGCGCAUAUUCUUGUUUUUCCUAGCGAUUGGAUGUACAACACAUCCAAAAUCAUGGGAUAUAUUUAAUUUAUCUAUAAACUCGCUUACGGUUAUGUAGGCGAUGCCUCCUGAAAAUGUACAAGAGAUAGCAAUUUUUGCGGAUAAUGCUCAACGUUCCAGCCGAUUGUGGAAUGACGUUACUCGUUCUCAAUUUUUUUAAACGAUGUAUAAAUAUUUUUCACUCAAGAGAGUCGAGAGAAAAUUGUUUAUUUUUUUCGCAAAUACACUGAAAGCUCGCCGCGAUUUAUAAACACUCUGUACCAUAUCAUGUACUACGAUAUUAGAUAUGUACAAUAUAUGGUACACAUCCACGGAAUGUAAUGGGAAAUCGAUAGCAUGUCCAACCUGUGUGAAAAACUGUGUAUAUGUGUGUUUGUAUAUAUAAAGGUAACCUUUUAUAAUAUUUUUAGAGAUAGGAAUAUAUACACACUUGCCAAUAUAUUUAGUCGAGUCUAUUGAGCAAACAAUCGUUGAAGGACAGAGAUUGUAUCUUAAUAUGAAGAAAACGAUUAAUCAUGCAUAUAACUUUUAUGCACAAUUUUCACUAAGAUGACUUGCAAAUUUUUAUAUCUAUGACGCAUUAGGAAUAUAUAUAAAUGGAACGAGUAUCUUUAUAGAUUCCAUAUUAAAAUAUGAUAAAGUAUACAAAAAAAUAUCAUCAGACUUGACAUACUCGAUUAGCAUUAAAACAAAAAAAAAUUUCUUCUGAAAAGGCAUCUCAAUCAUCGCUAACAUAUAACAAAUCAAAUAAGUUUGCCGGACAAAGAAUAUGUUAUAUUGUACUCACUUCUCAUUAACUUAAUUAGUAUCCUCAUUCUUUUCUCGCAUUUAUCGCUCGAAUAUGGCAUCACAUUUCUUACAAAAUUAAAUCUAGGCGUGGUUUGUUUACUACGCCUACGAUUAAUUAACAUGGAAUAACUUAUAAUUUCAUACAUUGUGUAGAUAUCUACAAUAUAACAAAUAUUAUAUAAAAAUAUAUGCGU